rnacentral:rRNA from 1 species
GAUGAACGCUGGCGGCGUGCCUAAUACAUGCAAGUCGAGCGAACAGACGAGGAGCUUGCUCCUCUGACGUUAGCGGCGGACGGGUGAGUAACACGUGGAUAACCUACCUAUAAGACUGGGAUAACUUCGGGAAACCGGAGCUAAUACCGGAUAAUAUAUUGAACCGCAUGGUUCACUAGUGAAAGACGGUUUUGCUGUCACUUAUAGAUGGAUCCGCGCCGCAUUAGCUAGUUGGUAAGGUAACGGCUUACCAAGGCAACGAUGCGUAGCCGACCUGAGAGGGUGAUCGGACACACUGGAACUGAGACACGGUCCAGACUCCUACGGGAGGCAGCAGUAGGGAAUCUUCGGCAAUGGGCGAAAGCCUGACGGAGCAACGCCGCGUGAGUGAUGAAGGUCUUCGGAUCGUAAAACUCUGUUAUUAGGGAAGAACAAAUGUGUAAGUAACUAUGCACGUCUUGACGGUACCUAAUCAGAAAGCCACGGCUAACUACGUG